UGGGGAAUAUUGCACAAUGGGCGCAAGCCUGAUGCAGCCAUGCCGCGUGUGUGAAGAAGGCCUUCGGGUUGUAAAGCACUUUCAGCGAGGAGGAAGGUGGUGAGCUUAAUACGCUCAUCAAUUGACGUUACUCGCAGAAGAAGCACCGGCUAACUCCGUGCCAGCAGCCGCGGUAAUACGGAGGGUGCAAGCGUUAAUCGGAAUUACUGGGCGUAAAGCGCACGCAGGCGGUUUGUUAAGUCAGAUGUGAAAUCCCCGGGCUCAACCUGGGAACUGCAUUUGAAACUGGCAAGCUAGAGUCUCGUAGAGGGGGGUAGAAUUCCAGGUGUAGCGGUGAAAUGCGUAGAGAUCUGGAGGAAUACCGGUGGCGAAGGCGGCCCCCUGGACGAAGACUGACGCUCAGGUGCGAAAGCGUGGGGCAGCAAACAGGAUUAGAUACCCUGGUAGUCCACGCUGUAAACGAUGUCGAUUUUGGAGGUUGUGCCCUUGAGGCGUGGCUUCCGGAGCUAACGCGUUAAAUCGACCGCCUGGGGAGUACGGCCGCAAGGUUAAAACUUAAAUGAAUUGACGGGGUCAU
rnacentral:rRNA from 1 species